rnacentral:misc_RNA from 1 species
UGGCAAUCUGAAUGGCACUAGUGUUGUCAGCAUAGAGAGGAGUAGGAGUAGACUGAGGAAAUCCAAUUUUUGCAAGUAGUCCUCAAAGCCAAACAAUCUCUAAGCAAGCAGCUGACAUGGCCUAAUAUUCGGACUCUGUGGAAGAUUUUGAAACACGGUCCUAUUUCUUACUCUUCCAAGAUAUCAAGGAAUCUCCAAGAAACAUACACCAACCUGUGACAGAGCGACGAGUAUCUGGACAUCCGGCUCAAUCAGCAUCACUAAAAGCAACAAGGCGAAUAGAAGAGCCAACAGGAAAGAAUAAACCACGGCUAGGAGAG